AACAUUAAAGGAAAUAAGAGCGCACAGUGGAUGCCUAGGCACCAAGAGCUGAUGAAGGACGCAAUUAACGGCGAUACGCUACGGGGAGCUGUAAAUAAGUGUAGAUCCGUGGAUUUCCGAAUGGGGCAACCUACUAUAAGAAGUUAUAGUAUCAAUUGUUAGGCAACUAACUGAUUGAAAGGAACGCAGUGAACUGAAAUAUCUAAGUAACUGCAGGAACAGAAAGUAAUAACGAUUCCGGUAGUAGUGACGAGCGAAUCCGGAACAGCCGGAUACCAAUAACUAGUUACCAAAUUUUAAUUAACUCGAAAUAGUUGGAAAGCUAUAUCCCAGAAGGUGAAAAUCCUGUAGAGGUAAGUUAAAAUCUAGGGUAUCCUCAAGUACGGCGAGACACGAGAAAUCUUGUUGGAAGAUAGGAGGACCAUCUCCUAAGGCUAAAUACUCCUUGGUGACCGAUAGUGAACUAGUACCGUGAGGGAAAGGUGAAAAGAACCCCGGAAGGGGAGUGAAAUAGAUCCUGAAACUGUGUGCUUACAAGUAGUCAAAGCUCGUUUAAGAGUGAUGGCGUGCCUUUUGCAGAAUGAACCGGCGAGUUAUGAUAUAGAGCAAGGUUAAGUUUGAAGGAACGUAGCCGUAGCGAAAGCGAGUCUGAAUAGGGCGUUUAGUUGUAUGUCAUAGACCCGAAACUGAAGUGAGCUAGCCAUGAACAGGCUGAAGUGACGUGACCACGUCAUGGAGGGCCGAACCAGGACACGUUGAAAAGUGUUUGGAUGAUUUGUGGCUAGAGGUGAAAUUCCAAUCGAACUCAGAGAUAGCUGGUUCUCCCCGAAAUAGCUUUAGGGCUAGCGUUGGGUAUUUAAUAGUUCUUGAAGGUAGAGCACUAAAUGAGUGCGGGCUCCACCUCGGGGUACCAAUCUCAAUUAAACUCCGAAUGUCAAGAACCGUAUCCCAGCAGUCAGACGAUGGGUGAUAAGGUCCAUGGUCAAAGGGAAGAGCCCAGACCGUCAGCUAAGGUCCCUAAAUUAAUGUUAAGUGGUUAAGGAAGUAAAAACGUUAAAACAAUUAGGAAGUUGGCUUAGAAGCAGCCAUCUUUUAAAGAGUGCGUAAUAGCUCACUAAUCUAAUAUUUUUUGCACCGAAAAUGUAACGGGCUAAACAUUAUACCGAAGUUACGGAUAUGUUCCGGCUAGUAAUAGCUAAGGAACAUGUGGUAGGGGAAGCGUUCUAACAUCGUAGAAGCUAUAGCGGAAGCAGUAGUGGAGAGGUUAGAAGUGAGAAUGCCGGUGUAAGUAACGAAAAGAUAGAUGAGAAUUCUAUCCGUCGAAAACCCAAGGUUUCCAGGGGCAGGGUCGUCCGCCCUGGGUUAGUCAGGAACUAAGGCGAGGCAGCAAUGCGUAGUCGAUGACCAGCAGGCUAAAAUUCCUGCACUAAAAAAAUCACUGAUGGAGGGACAAAAGAGGAUAAGCACGCCCUUUAUUGGAUUAGGGUCGAAAAAUCGAGUUUGAGAAGAUAGGCAAAUCCGUCUUCUUACUUGCCAAAAAUGAGAUUUGAGGGUAACGUGACUGUGUUCAUAUUUUCUAGAAAAGCUUCUAGGGUUAAUGAUUUUUUACCUGUACCGUAAACCGACACAGGUGGGAAGGUAGAGUAUACUAAGACGCGCGAGAAAACUCUUGUUAAGGAACUCGGCAAAAUGACUCCGUAACUUCGGGAUAAGGAGAGCUUUUAUGAUAAAAAGUAAAAGCCGCAGAGAAUAGGCUCAAGCGACUGUUUAUCAAAAACACAGGUCUCUGCUAAACCGUAAGGUGAUGUAUAGGGGCUGAUGCCUGCCCGGUGCUGGAAGAUUAAGAGGAGAUGUUCGGGCUUGCCCAAAGCAUUGAAUUGAAGUCCCAGUGAACGGCGGCCGUAACUAUAACGGUCCUAAGGUAGCGAAAUUCCUUGUCGGGUAAAUUCCGACCUGCACGAAAGGCAUAACGAUUUGGGCGCUGUCUCAACAAGAGUCUCGGUGAAAUCAAAUUACCGGUGAAAAUGCCGGUUACCCGCGACAGGACGAAAAGACCCCAUGGAGCUUUACUGUAGCUUAAUAUUGGAAUUGGAAAUCUCAUGUACAGGAUAGGUGGGAGACAGAGAACUUUAGACGCUAGUUUAAAGGGAGUCACCGGUGGGAUACCACUCUUGAGAUUUUUAGUUUCUAACCUGCAUAAGUGGAUUAUGAGGGACAGUGUUUGGUGGGCAGUUUGACUGGGGCGGUCGCCUCCUAAAAAGUAACGGAGGCGUUCAAAGGUUCCCUCAAAAUGGUCAGAAAUCAUUUUUAGAGCGUAAAGGUAUAAGGGAGCUUGACUGUGAGACCUACAAGUCGAGCAGGGACGAAAGUCGGACUUAGUGAUCUUGCGGUACCGAAUGGAAGGGCCGUGACUCAACGGAUAAAAGCUACCCUGGGGAUAACAGCCUUAUCGCCCCCGAGCGUUCACAGCGACGGGGCGGUUUGGGACCUCGAUGUCGGCUCAUCGCAUCCUGGAGCUGGAGCAGGUUCCAAGGGUUGGGCUGUUCGCCCAUUAAAGCGGUACGCGAGCUGGGUUCAGAACGUCGUGAGACAGUUCGGUCUCUAUCCGUCGUGGGCGUUGGAAAUUUGCGAGGAACUGUCCCUAGUAUGAGAAGACCGGGAUGGAUAUACCGCUGGUGCACCAGUUGGUUCGCCAGAGCCAUAGCUGGGUAGCUAUGUAUAGUAUGGAUAAACACUGAAAGCAUCUAAGUGUGAAGCCUCCCUCAAGAUGAGAUUUCCUAAGAGAUCCCUGAAAGACGAUCAGGUUGAUAGGCUAGAAGUGGAAGAGUAGUGAUAUUUGGAGCUGACUAGUACUAAUAGAUCCAACGACUUUGAU
rnacentral:rRNA from 1 species